UACAGAGGUCCCAAGCGUUGUUCGGAUUCAUUGGGCGUAAAGGGUGCGUAGGCGGCGCGGUAAGUCGGGUGUGAAAUCUCGGGGCUUAACUCCGAAACUGCAUUCGAUACUGCCGUGCUUGAGGACUGGAGAGGAGACUGGAAUUUACGGUGUAGCGGUGAAAUGCGUAGAGAUCCGGAAGAACACCGGUGGCGAAGGCGGGUCUCUGGGCAACAACUGACGCUGAGGAGCGAAAGCGUGGGGAGCGAACAGG
rnacentral:rRNA from 1 species